UUACAUAAAAAAUACGUUACAAAUCAAAUCUCCAAGUACAAUCAGAAACCCUAAGUCUAUUUCUAAACAAAAUCAAAACUUAAAUGAAAUUACAAUCGGAAUCAAAUAAUAAUCAAAUAGAAAACUUCCUAAAACUACAAAUCUGAAUUAAAACCUAAGACCUAAUAUUAACCUAUAAAUACAUAGAGAAUUCAGAUGAAGGGGACAACAAGAAAACCCUGAAAAGAAAUCCUUUGCUGCUGCAAAUCCGACCCCCAUUAAAGCUUGAUUCAACUUGCGAUUAAGGUUUCACGUUGAAACCCUAAUUCUUCUGUGUUGGAAUCCAUCCCGUGUACCUCGCACAAAAACACAGAGAAGAAGUUAAAAGGAGAAGAGGAGACAACUGGAUCAAAGAGGAAAGAAAAGAUUCAAAAUUUACCUUGAACUGAAAUACACCUCCAUUUUGUAGGUUGGUCACAUGCUUUUUUUUGUCUAUAAAUGCUUGCCUUGUAUUGAUGCUUACGAUUUCCUUAUUUAAAUUCUAUUUGAGUUGGAUUUUUGGAUCUAGGGGUUGUUGAUGUUCGAUUUGUGUUAGGGAAGUUUUAAUUGAUGGUAUAGGGUUUGAUUUAAGCAAGUUUGUUUUUGGGUAGCAAUUUGGGUUAGGGUUCGUAAUGGCCAGGUUAUGGUCCAUGUGAUGAACCCUAGGGUUCAACUGAGGAGGGUUAGGGUUCAAGGGAUUGUUAGGGUUCUUGUUAAACCCAUAUUAGGGUUCUAAUGUUUUGGGGUAUGGUUCUUCAUGUUAGGGUAUCUGGGUUGAUGAUGGAUGAAUAUUUGAAGAUUCCGGUUGAAGCUCAACCGGAAUUUGGGUUGGACGGUGGCAUGGGAGGCCAAGCAUGGCGGCCAGGGUUAAGGGGUUAGAGAGAGGUAGAGAGAAGGGAGAGUAGAGAGAAGAUUGAGAGGGGGAAAUGCUAGAGAGAGAAA
rnacentral:lncRNA from 1 species